rnacentral:tRNA from 2 species
GUCAGGAUGGCCGAGCGGUCUAAGGCACUGCGUUCAGGUCGCAGUCUCCUCUGCAGGCAUGGGUUCGAAUCCCACUUCUGACA